rnacentral:rRNA from 1 species
UACGAAGGGGGCUAGCGUUGCUCGGAAUUACUGGGCGUAAAGGGAGCGUAGGCGGGUUAUCAAGUUGGGGGUGAAAGCCCGGGGCUCAACCUCGGAAUUGCCUUCAAAACUGAUAACCUGGAGUAUGGAAGAGGUAAGUGGAACUCCGAGUGUAGAGGUGAAAUUCGUAGAUAUUCGGAAGAACACCAGUGGCGAAGGCGACUUACUGGUCCAUUACUGACGCUGAGGCUCGAAAGCGUGGGGAAGCAAACAGG